rnacentral:rRNA from 1 species
UACGGAGGGGGCAAGCGUUGUUCGGAAUCAUUGGGCGUAAAGGGCGCGUAGGUGGUUCUGUAUGCCUACCGUGAAAGCAUACAGCUCAACUGUAUUUUGUCGGUAGAAACUGCAGGACUUGAGGCUGGGAGGGGCUGGUGGAAUUCCCUGUGUAGCGGUGAAAUGCGUAGAUAUCUGGAGGAACACCGGUGGCGAAGGCGGCAUCCUGGACCGGUAUUGACGCUGAGGCGCGAAAGCUAGGGGAGCAAACGGG